AGGACGAACGCUGGCGGCGUGCUUAACACAUGCAAGUCGAGCGGUGAGGCCUUUCGGGGUACACGAGCGGCGAACGGGUGAGUAACACGUGGGUGAUCUGCCCUGCACUUCGGGAUAAGCCUGGGAAACUGGGUCUAAUACCGGAUAUGACCUCCUAUCGCAUGGUGGGUGGUGGAAAGAUUUAUCGGUGCAGGAUGGGCCCGCGGCCUAUCAGCUUGUUGGUGGGGUAAUGGCCUACCAAGGCGACGACGGGUAGCCGACCUGAGAGGGUGACCGGCCACACUGGGACUGAGACACGGCCCAGACUCCUACGGGAGGCAGCAGUGGGAAUAUUGCACAAUGGGACGAAAAGCCUGAUGCAGCGACGCCGCGUGAGGAUGACGGCCUCGGUUGUAACCUCUUCUAGCAGGACGAAGACGACGAAGUA
rnacentral:rRNA from 1 species